AAUUUCAGCUGAAAAAGUCAUGAACAUAAAAGUUGUAGAACUCAUGAAGAUAUACAACUUUUAUUUUGGUCAUUUCUUCAUCCGACAAAGUAAUAGUAACAUUGUUCACAAAUUUACAUAUAUCUCUUAGAGUUUAUAAAACCAUAGGAAAUAUAUGUAAAAUUCGUGAACAAUAUUACUAUCACUUUGUCUGAUGAAGAAAUGACUAAAAUAAAAGUUAUAGAUCUUGAUGAGUUAUACGACUUCGUUGUUGAUAACUUUUUCAGUUGAAAAU
rnacentral:pre_miRNA from 1 species